rnacentral:rRNA from 1 species
AGUCAAGGAGAACAUUAUCUUCGGAUAAUAAGUAAACUGGCGAACGGGUGUGUAACGCGUAAAUAACUUGCCUCAGAGAUUGGGACAACAUUGGGAAACCAGUGCUAAUACCAAAUAAUGCAGCGGGCUCUUAGGAGCGCAGUUGUUAAAGUAGGCUUCGGCUUACACUUUGAGAUAGGUUAGCGUCCGAUUAGUUUGUUGGUGGGGUAACUGCCUACCAAGACUAAGAUCGGUAGCUGGUCUGAGAGGAUGAUCAGCCACAUUGGAAUUGAGAUACGGUCCAGACUCCUACGGGAGGCAGCAGUAAGGAAUUUUGCACAAUGGGCGAAAGCCUGAUGCAGCAACGCCGCGUGAACGAUGAAGUUUUUAGGAAUGUAAAGUUCUGUCGUAUGGGAAGAGAUCUUUCGAAUGUUAAUACCAUUCGUUAAUGACGGUACCAUACAAGAAAGCACCGGCUAACUUCGUGCCAGCAGCCGCGGUAAUACGAGGGGUGCUAGCGUUGUCCGGAUUUACUGGGCGUAAAGGGUACGUAGGCGUUUUAAUAAGUUGUAUGUUAAAUAUCUUAGCUUAACUAAGAAAGUGCAUACAAAACUGUUAAAAUAGAGUUUGAGAGAGGAACGCAGAAUUCAUGGUGGAGCGGUGACAAGCGUAGAUAUCAUGAGGAAAGUCAAAUGCGAAGGCAGCCUUCUGGCUCAAAACUGACGCUGAGGUACGAAAGCGUGGGGAGCGAACAGGAUUAGAUACCCUGGUAGUCCACGCCGUAAACGAUGAGUAUUUGAUGCUGGGGGAUUCGACCCUUUCAGUGUCGUAGCUAACGCGAUAAAUACUCCGCCUGGGGACUACGAUCGCAAGAUUGAACUC